UAUAAUCCUGCGCAGUAGAAAUGAGGAGUGGGAGACUGCCAGCGCCGGGCUAAGAAUGUUAGUCGGUCGAUUCGUUCGUCAUUCGUCGUAUUAGUAUUGGAUAGUAGGGGUUAUUCUUUGUUACAACAUACUGGAAAUCUAUCUAUUAUAAUACAUAACAACUAAAUGGGAGAACAGUAUUGCAUAUUACAGUGGUUGGCUUAUUCCUUCUUCUUCUUGCUGUUCCCUGAAAAGGAUCUAGUUGUAUUUCAAAAGUCAAGAAUGAGAAUCUUCCAGCCUUCACUUUUUCUGUGGAACUCGACGAUUCCUAUUUGAUGGCGGUUUUACGAUGACUUGUUUUGGACUCCAGCAGUGUUAGUGACAACGUUCGUCACAUCUAAUCGGGAAGAUGCUCUUGACGACAGCGGAUGGAGUUCUUCAGGAGGAGAGCCCACGCGUUCGGGAAUGGGUGAGUUGGAAGGUGAGAAAUUUAUUUCUGUUAUAUUUUUUUUGUCUUGUACCGUCUCUCGUUCCUUUCGGUCCCGCUCGCCUCCUCUCUUUAUUUCAACUAAGAAGAGUUUUCUAAACCAACGUACCGACAGCUUUCUACUGUUGUGACUCCACAUCCACAUGUUCCAUGUACCUUGGUAUCCGUGUAUAACUAUGUCUACCGCCGUAAUUUCAAUGUAACUAGAAUGUCAAUUAUGGCUGCAGUAACCGUUCCAAAAUUCCAUAAAUUCAUUCCAAAAUUUUGUCGCUUCUCGCGCUAUGGUGUUUAGAAUUACUAUUUUCCCUGCUGGAAACAUGACAUGGUCUCUAGAGGUGUCAACGUCCUUUUGCGUAUAUAUUCCACUCGUAGCUAGUGAUCUAAGUUGUGAUCAUUGUUCACAUAUCAGGAUCUAAGUUGUAAUCAUUGUUCGCACAUCAUAUUAAAAGAAUUAAAAGAAUACGGCGAUCGAAAUGGCCUAACGCAGAAGUAGCUUAGAAGCUCUGUACGACUCUGAGUGGUAGGAUGGAAGUACUUCGUCCAGUGGAUCAUAAAAUUCCUCUCAGUUGGUCGCUGCGAACAUGAACUAGUUUGUUUGUUUAUGUGUAUUUUACAAUGUGGUUUACAUUAAUUUUAACAUUGUUAUUUCUCAAGAUAUCUAGUACCUUAUGGAGAUCUGUGUACUAGUCUGAAAAUUUACCUUUACUGGAUCAAAAUGUAGGUCAAUCAGAAUCAAGCGCGUAUACAUGUGUUUUCAUAUUUUUCUUGCGAAUACGUGAUCAUCUGUGUUUGCAUUAUCCAGGGGGAAUUGCGUAUAGUAGAAUUUUGUAUACCUUGUAUCUAAGAACUUUAUGGAAUCUUGUUAAGUUUUUCGUACCCCUAUUGCUUUCUUCUAAAAGCGGAAUUUCCUUCAGAUUACGUAACACAUAUAUACAUUAUUAAUAUAUAUAUACACAUAUACAAGCUCAGAUAAGAAACUUAAAAAGUGACCUUUAUCUUUUUUAAUCGCAUUAUUUGUUUCAAAAUUUUUAACA